rnacentral:rRNA from 1 species
AGUGAACGCUGGCGGUAGGCCUAAUACAUGCAAGUCGAACGGCAGCACAGGAGAGCUUGCUCUCUGGGGGGCGAGGGGCGGAGGGGAGAGGAAUAUAGCGAAAUCUGCUCAGAGGCGGGGGUAAACGCAGGGAAACGGAGGCUAUAACCGCAAACAACCUGCAGGGGAAGGAGGAGGAGCGCAAGACCGCUCGCGAGUGAAUGAGCCGUGGUCGCAUUAGCUAGUUGGCGGGGUAAUGGCCCACCAAGGCGACGAUCCGUAGCUGGUCUGAGAGGAUGAUCAGCCACACUGGAACUGAGACACGGUCCAGACUCCUACGGGAGGCAGCAGUGGGGAAUAUUCGACAAUGGGCGCAAGCCUGAUCCAGCCAUGCCGCGUGGGUGAAGAAGGUCUUCGGGUUGUAAAGCCCUUUUGUUGGGAAAGAACUCUUUCAGGCUAAUCCCCUGGGAGCUUGACGGUACCCAAAGAAUAAGCACCGGCUAACUUCGUG